UUCCGAUAGAAGAUUGGAUUAAAUAGGACCUUUUUUUUUUUUUUGGUGGGUGGUACAUUCUAACUACUUCUUAUCACAACUGGUAUAAUUUCUAAUGCAGACUGGGUAGUGAUUUGAAAUCACGAUCUAUCCAGGUUCCAUCUGAAGGUAGAAUAUAGGAUAGGAUCAGAGCCACGAUCUUUGGAAAACAAAGCAUGGAAAACUGAGACAGUGGGAAUUUGAAUCCGUUUUGAAUAAUCAUUGAUAUUAUUAUCCAAUCCCUAGUCUUUGGAUCCACACGCUGAACCUAGAUGAGGAAUUCGAUGCUGCUGUUCUUAUUGAGCUGAUAGAACUGGAAUCACAUAUACUGUGGUAUUCCAUGAUGCCCUG
rnacentral:lncRNA from 1 species